CAGGAUACCAAAAGCUAGAAGAAUGGAUUUCUUUCACAUGGAGGAGUUCAUGUAGCGUGAGAUUGACAUAAUGGUGAGGAUCAUGGACUUGAGCAGUCAGAAUGUCAGGUCUGGAACGGGCAUGAGAGAACAUCGGGUUCAACCUUCUAGUUUUGGAGAGGGACAUCGAAUAAAGUGACCUGUCCAGGAGAUUAGCGACCUGCGGCAUGGACAAGCAGCAGACCUUUUCUCCCCAUGUUUUACUGUAAAAACUUCCAAACAUACAGAAACGUUGAAAGAAUUUUGAUAUCAAAUCCAUCUAGAUUCUACAAUUGGCAUCUCACUGUACUUUUUUUUUUAUCACACCUAUUCCUCUCUUUAUCCACAUUUUACUUUUUUGAUACAUUUCGAAGUUGCAGAAAUCAGUAACAUUUCCCCCAAACUCUUCAAUAUGCAUGUCAUUAACUAGCGUGACAUGUUUGUUUAUAGUUUCUCUUUUCUUCUUGUGAAGCAAAAUUUGUAUCCAAUGCAAUGCACAAACCUCUGAAGCACACCAUUCAAUGAUUCCCCAAAAAGCACACACCUGUGUAACCCAAAAACCCUCUCAAGAUAGAAAACAUUACUCUCACCUGGGAAAAUUCCCCCAUCCCCAUUCCUGAUCAAGGCCUACCCCCUAGCCCUAGAGGCAACCACCACGCCUUUUCUACCAUAGAUUGGUUUUGCCUGUUCUAGAACUUCAUAAAAUGGAACCAUACAGUUCAUCUUUGUGUAAGGCUUCUUUCACUCAGCAUAAAAUACUUUCGAGAUUUAACCUUGUUGUUUUAUGUACUAGUAGCUGGUUCCUUUUUAUUGCUGAGUAGUAAGUAUUCUAUUGUUUGCGCAAAUACAAUCACCAUUUGUCUAGUCAUUUUUCUGUUAAUGAACACCUGAAUUGUUCCCCAUUUGGGGUGACAGUAAGUAAAGCUGCUAAGAAUAUUGUUCUAGAUUUUUUUGUGGACAUAUAUUUUAAUUUCUACUGGGUAAAUAACUAGGCAUGGAAUUUGCUGGGUUCUACGGUAACUUACUGGGAUGCAUUUAGUUUUAUAAGAAACAGCACGACCUUUCUCCAAAAUGGUCAUACUAGUUUAUGCUUCAACAAUUGAAACAAGAGUUCUAGUGGUUUCACAUUUUGGCCAAUAUUUAACAUUUUUUGUCUUUUUGAUUUUAGCCAUACUGGUGUUUAUGGAGUGCUACUUUACUGUGAUUUUAAUUUUUUCCAUUUCCAAGACAGCUAAUGAUAUUAAGCAGCUUUUCAUGUAAUUUCCAGUAAGAUUUUCAUGUACUAAUUGGCCAUGUAUCUAUCUUUCUGAAGUAUUUCUUCAAAUCUUUUGCCCAUUGUUUUUGCUUUCAUUAUUGAGUUAUAGGAGUUCUUCAUAUUUCCUAGAUUCCAGUCCUUUGUCAGAUAUAUUUUCCAAAUAUAUCCUCUCAGUCUGGCUUGCCCAUUUAUUUUCUAAAUGGCAUCUUUUAACGUAUAAAAGUUUUUAACUUAGAGUUGAAUUUAUCAUUUAAUAAUUUUAUGGUCAUUGAUAUGGUCAUUGCCAAUCUGGGUCAUGAUACAGAAAUCUUCAUCUACUUUCAAGUUGCAAAGAUAUUCUCCUACUUUUUUUUCUAAAAGCUUUAUAAUUUUGGCUUUUAUGUUUACGUGUAUGAUGCAUGACAAAUUAAUUUUUGUGUAUAGUGUUAAGUAGGGGUCAAAGUUCAAUGUUUUUCAGUUGUUUAGCACCAUUUGUUGAAAAGACUUUCCGUUCCUGGUCUGAUUAUUUUGGCGCUUUUGUUGAAAAUCAAAUAACUAUAAACCCCAUUGAUCGAUUUGUUGAUACUAAUGCCACGCAGAGUUACAUUCCAGUCCUCCAGAGCCAGUCUACAAAUCACGCAGAAAAGCUGGUUGCUCUGUUUAUAGUCACAUGCAGCUAGCUAGUCUCCCCCCACCAAGUAAAGUGUAAAUUCCUGCAGAAGAAAACCCAUCUCUUCCAUUUCAGUACAUUCCUCACAAUGCUAUGCUCAUACUAGGGGUCCAAACAAUUACUGAAUAAAACAAAGGUCAGAGUCAAGUUACAAAUGAUAUUGUAGAAACUGUUGAAGCAUAACUAUGGCAAAGAAGCAUUUUAAUAUAAUUGAGAAAAUGGCGGGAGAAACAGACUAUUGUUUUAUUUCCUUUCCAGAUAGUCUAUUUAUGUUUAGACCUCUUUCAGUACUAAUGUUACCAGUGGUGCGUGCGCACACACACACACACACAUUGAACACAGAAAGAAAAUAAAAAUGAAUGUGCAUUAUUAAAUAGAGUGCAUUGCUAAAUAGUUUUUUAUUUAUAAUUCAUAUAGUCUCCCCACUUCCUACAAUGAUGAGGAUGGGUUUAGGAGGCUUUCAUUUGCUAACAUUGAUUUUAAUUAUUAUAUAUACUAAACUGUUUGUAGCUCUCUCUGCGUUUAUCUUGUGAUGAAUUAUUUUUAAUGCCUACUACAUAUUGCAUUCUAGGUGGUGAAAUUCUUGAAAACUCAAACAAUGGACUGAAAGUCAUCCCUCUUUAUCAUAGGGAAGCCAAAUGCUCCAUUGUCCUGACACUAUUUCUUACAUUGAGUGACUACAUAAAUAUAUAAUAUUCUCACACACAUAUGCAAAAAGCUGAGUAGCUGACAACUCAGUCUGCUGAUUGACUGUAUGAUUUGGCCAUUUUGAGCUUUGAUCUGUCCAGAUAUAAAAUUAAGGAAAACUAGGACAUUAGUUAAUCAAAUAGAUGCCUUAUCUGCAAUCGGAUCUGCUGCUUGAACAUAUUAGGUGAUAUUUUGCAUGCUCACAACUGUAGUCUACAUUUCUGUUUUCAUUAGCCUACUUGAUCUGAGAAUGUUUGAUGCUGAUUUUUGUCUUCUAUCCUUCAUUACACAGUACUUAUUUUGCUUUUAAGCUUUUUGUUCUUUUGCAUGCCAUAGGUAAAAUCAGCCAAUAUUCAAGGAAUGCUGCUUCUUUUGCCCAAGUCUUAGCACCAUCAUUUUUGCUAGUUGCAUUGACUGUUUUUUAAAAACCAACUUUAAGUUACUGCAGAACCAAGCAUAAUGUAUUCUAGGUAGUCUAUAAGCCAUGAUUUCUUUCAGAAAAAUACAAUAGACAAGGUUUCCACUAAACGUAGUCUUUGUACUUUCUUUGUUUCCUCCAGGUCAUUAACCUUUUCACCUAUAAUCAUCUUAGCGAUAGGAUUUAGGCAACUAUUAUGUAAUUGAUCAUUAGCAAAAGAGUCCUGGUGGCAAAAAAGAAAUACUUUUCUUUUGAAACAUAUGAUAAACAUUUAACCUCUAGAUUGAUGUUUCAUUUCUUAACUGAUUAUUAAAAGAAUCUUAAUUCUACCUUAAACAUUUAAAAAUUACACAGAGAUUACAUUUAUUUCAGAAUCAGUCUUCAAGUGGUGAAAAGUUGUUGGUGAUAUUCACAUUCUAUAAUACCCAAUUAAAUGUUGCUUAUAUUUUAUAUUUUAUUUUUGUUAUAUUUUAUAUAGCCAAGAAAAUGCCUUUAUUUUUUGGAGGAAGGUGGCUGAAGUAUUUGG
rnacentral:lncRNA from 1 species